AUUACAUUUCUGCAUCUAGCUAGAGAGAGAACAUACUGCAAUUGAAGAUCACGUGUUUCCUCAUUUUUUGAUAGGGUGCUGGUGCUACUGAGAUUUCUGGAUCGCUGACAGAGAAAGCUAUUCUUCAAUGGGUUGUCAAUCUAGGGAUGAAUUUUGAAGCUGUGCGAUCUGAAGCAUCUGUUAUCCAUGCUUUCCCAUUCAACUCAGAGAAAAAGAGAGGCGGCGUUGCCGUAAAGCGGGAUUCUGAGGGUCACUUGCACUGGAAAGAAGCUGCUGAAAUUUUUCUCUCUUGUUGUACAAGUUUCAUUGAUUAGAAUGGGUCGGUGGUUCCUCUGGGCGAUGAUAAGAU